ACCAGUUCAUAAACCACCAAGAUAUCCUCCUAAACCAUCACCUUGUCCACCCCCAUCAUCAACACCAAAACCACCUCAUCAUCCCAAACCCCCAGCAGUACACCCACCACAUGUUCCAAAACCACAUCCACCUUAUGUUCCAAAACCACCAAUUGUUAAACCUCCAAUAGUACAUCCACCUUACGUACCAAAACCCCCAGUUGUGAAACCACCACCAUAUGUCCCUAAACCACCUGUUGUGAGACCACCCUAUGUUCCUAAACCACCAGUUGUACCUGUAACACCACCUUAUGUUCCUAAGCCACCAAUUGUUUUCCCACCACAUGUUCCUCUACCUCCAGUUGUACCAUCACCACCACCUUAUGUACCAACACCUCCAAUUGUGAAACCACCAAUUGUUUUUCCACCACAUGUUCCUCUACCUCCAGUUGUGCCUGUAACACCACCUUAUGUGCAACCACCACCUAUUGUAACUCCACCAACACCAACACCUCCAAUUGUGACACCACCAACACCACCUAGUGAAACAC
rnacentral:lncRNA from 1 species